UACAUGGGGUGCAAACGUUGCUCGGAAUCAUUGGGCGUAAAGCGCGCGUAGGCGGUUACUUAUGUCGGAUGUGAAAGCCCUCGGCUUAACCGAGGAAGUGCAUCCGAAACUGGGUAGCUAGAGUACGAAAGAGGGUCGCGGAAUUCCCGGUGUAGAGGUGAAAUUCGUAGAUAUCGGGAGGAACACCGGUGGCGAAGGCGGCGACCUGGGUCGAGACUGACGCUGAGGCGCGAAAGCGUGGGGAGCAAACAGG
rnacentral:rRNA from 1 species